ACGAGAAUCUGUGGAUCGAGGAUUCGUCCAAGUGAAGCAGAGGACAGUGGCGGACGGGUGAGUAACGCGUGAGGAACCUGCCUUUCAGAGGGGGACAACAGUUGGAAACGACUGCUAAUACCGCAUGAUACAUUUGGGUGGCAUCAUCUGAAUGUCAAAGAUUUAUCGCUGAAAGAUGGCCUCGCGUCUGAUUAGCUAGUUGGUGAGGUAACGGCCCACCAAGGCGACGAUCAGUAGCCGGACUGAGAGGUUGACCGGCCACAUUGGGACUGAGAUACGGCCCAGACUCCUACGGGAGGCAGCAGUGGGGAAUAUUGGGCAAUGGGCGCAAGCCUGACCCAGCAACGCCGCGUGAAGGAAGAAGGCUUUCGGGUUGUAAACUUCUUUUAAUGGGGAAGAGCAGAAGACUGUACCCAUAGAAUAAGCCACGGCUAACUACGUGCCAGCAGCCGCGGUAAUACGUAGGUGGCAAGCGUUGUCCGGAUUUACUGGGUGUAAAGGGCGUGCAGCCGGGAAUGCAAGUCAGAUGUGAAAUCCAUGGGCUUAACCCAUGAACUGCAUUUGAAACUGUAUUUCUUGAGUACUGGAGAGGCAAUCGGAAUUCCUAGUGUAGCGGUGAAAUGCGUAGAUAUUAGGAGGAACACCAGUGGCGAAGGCGGAUUGCCGGACAGCAACUGACGGUGAGGCGCGAAAGUGUGGGGAGCAAACAGGAUUA
rnacentral:rRNA from 1 species